UUCAGGAUGAACGCUAGCUACAGGCUUAACACAUGCAAGUCGAGGGGCAUCAGGAAGAAAGCUUGCUUUCUUUGCUGGCGACCGGCGCACGGGUGAGUAACACGUAUCCAACCUGCCCUUUACUCGGGGAUAGCCUUUCGAAAGAAAGAUUAAUACCCGAUAGCAUAAUGAUUCCGCAUGGUUUCAUUAUUAAAGGAUUCCGGUAAAGGAUGGGGAUGCGUUCCAUUAGGUUGUUGGUGAGGUAACGGCCCACCAAGCCUUCGAUGGAUAGGGGUUCUGAGAGGAAGGUCCCCCACAUUGGAACUGAGACACGGUCCAAACUCCUACGGGAGGCAGCAGUGAGGAAUAUUGGUCAAUGGGCGCUAGCCUGAACCAGCCAAGUAGCGUGAAGGAUGAAGGCUCUAUGGGUCGUAAACUUCUUUUAUAUAAGAAUAAAGUGCAGUAUGUAUACUGUUUUGUAUGUAUUAUAUGAAUAAGGAUCGGCUAACUCCGUGCCAGCAGCCGCGGUAAUACGGAGGAUCCGAGCGUUAUCCGGAUUUAUUGGGUUUAAAGGGAGCGUAGGUGGACUGGUAAGUCAGUUGUGAAAGUUUGCGGCUCAACCGUAAAAUUGCAGUUGAUACUGUCAGUCUUGAGUACAGUAGAGGUGGGCGGAAUUCGUGGUGUAGCGGUGAAAUGCUUAGAUAUCACGAAGAACUCCGAUUGCGAAGGCAGCUCACUGGACUGCAACUGACACUGAUGCUCGAAAGUGUGGGUAUCAAACAGGAUUAGAUACCCUGGUAGUCCACACAGUAAACGGUGAAUACUCGCUGUUUGCGAUAUACAGUAAGCGGCCAAGCGAAAGCAUUAAGUAUUCCACCUGGGGAGUACGCCGGCAACGGUGAAACUCAAAGGAAUUGACGGGGGCCCGCACAAGCGGAGGAACAUGUGGUUUAAUUCGAUGAUACGCGAGGAACCUUACCCGGGCCUAAAUUGCAGUGGAAUGAUGUGGAAACAUGUCAGUGAGCAAUCACCGCUGUGAAGGUGCUGCAUGGUUGUCGUCAGCUCGUGCCGUGAGGUGUCGGCUUAAGUGCCAUAACGAGCGCAACCCUUAUCUUUAGUUACUAACAGGUUAUGCUGAGGACUCUAGAGAGACUGCCGUCGUAAGAUGUGAGGAAGGUGGGGAUGACGUCAAAUCAGCACGGCCCUUACGUCCGGGGCUACACACGUGUUACAAUGGGGGGUACAGAAGGCAGCUAGCGGGUGACCGUAUGCUAAUCCCAAAAUCCUCUCUCAGUUCGGAUCGAAGUCUGCAACCCGACUUCGUGAAGCUGGAUUCGCUAGUAAUCGCGCAUCAGCCACGGCGCGGUGAAUACGUUCCCGGGCCUUGUACACACCGCCCGUCAAGCCAUGGGAGCCGGGGGUACAAGAAGUACGUAACCGCAAGGAUCGUCCUAGGGU
rnacentral:rRNA from 1 species